GCAGGGAGGAUAAAGGAUCAC
rnacentral:miRNA from 17 species